rnacentral:rRNA from 1 species
GACGAACGCUGGCGGCGUGCUUAACACAUGCAAGUCGAACGGAAAGGCCCUGCUUUUGUGUGGUGCUCGAGUGGCGCGCGUGUGAGUAACCCGUGAGUAUCCUGCCCUUUACUUUGUGAUAACUUCAGGCAACUGGUGCUAAUACCUGCUUGCUGCUCCUGCUGCAUGGUGGGGUUUGGACCUUUUAGGCGGUUGGGGAUGUACGCCGGGCUUAUGAGCUUGUUGGUGGGGUAGUGGCUUACCAAGGCUUUGGCGGGUAGCCGGCCUGAGAGGGUGAACAGCGACAUGGGGACUGAGAGACGGCGCAGACUCCUACGGGAGGCAGCAGGGGGGAAUAUUGCACAAUGGGCGGAAGCGUGAGGCAGAAACGCCGCGUGCGGGAUGACGGACUUCGGGUUGUAAACCGCUGUAGCCUGUGACGAAGCGUGAGUGACGGUAAUGGGUAAAGAAGCACCGGCUAACUACGUG